CCAGAGUUCCCAAGUCAGGGGUUCUGGGUUAGGAUUCCAGAAGUUGUAUUUCUGAAAAGUUCCCAAGCAGUGCAGAUGAUACGGGCCAACACCCGCUGAUCCGAGGUCAUCUUCCAGCUUCCCAAAGCAACAUUUUAUCCAGUACUCAAAGAUUCUGAAGAUACUGUGAAAUGAUACAUAUCCUGUUUGCAGGUGAGGAAGAUACCAGCUUUCAGCUCAGCUUUACACUUUAAAGAUGCCUCACUAAGAAAAGGACAAAGGCUCUGCCAUCCACCUGUCAUUAUGACCCAGGAAGGUUCAUAAUUGAGAGGAAGCAGUGACAUUUUCAAUAGACUGUGUUUCCAUCUCAACUACUCCAAACAAGGAAUCACAAGUUCCAAUUCCAGGAGAGUUGGGUCAGACUUUCAUCUCUGGGAGCCAAGAGAGUAAGUGUCAUAAGAACAACUUGGUGCUUUGGGAUGUGACUUUUAAAACCAAAGGACAAAUGUGCACAUUUCAAGAGACUUGUGGGAUAUCCCUGGUGGGAUAGUUGCCUCUUCAACAAAGUAAAAGUUAUAUAG